ensembl:miRNA gga-mir-6588 gga-mir-6588
GGGGCUGAGCAGGGAGCUCCUGCCCUCAGCUGCUCUUCCACAGCCUGAGCUGUGUCACCUCCAACACAUUGCUGGGCUGGGGGAAGAGGAUUUUCAGUUCUGUUUCCUUU